rnacentral:lncRNA from 1 species
AUGAUUUUCGCAAAGCGGAUCCUGUGUUCUGCCUAUCAACCAGGACAACGGAAUGGAUCCCAGCUGGCGACCCAAAAAAAACGACUCCGUAAAAGAGGGAAACGAGGCGGUCUUCUGGUCAGACUCCGGAGACGGGCACAUCGUGCACCACUCCCUAGCAUUCUUCUCGCCAAUGUCCAGUCUCUUGACAACAAGGUUGAUGAAAUCCGAGCAAGGGUAGCAUUCCAGAGGGACAUCAGAGACUGUAACGUUCUUUGCUUCACGGAAACAUGGCUCACUGGAGAGACGCUAUCGGAGGCGGUGCAGCCAGCGGGUUUCUCCACGCAUCGCGCCGACAGAAACAAACAUCUUUCUGGUAAGAAGAGGGGCGGGGGCGUAUGCCUUAUGGCUAACGAGACGUGGUGUGAUCACAGAAACAUACAGGAAGUCAAAUCCUUCUGUUCACCUGAUUUAGAAUUCCUCACAAUCAAAUGUCGACCGCAUUAUCUACCAAGAGAAUUCUCUUCGAUUAUAAUCACAGCCGUAUAUAUUCCCCCCCAAGCAGACACAUCGAUGGCUCUGAACGAACUUUAUUUUACUCUUUGCAAACUGGAAUCCAUACAUCCUGAGGCUGCAUUCAUUGUAGCUGGGGAUUUUAACAAGGCUAAUCUGAAAACAAGACUCCCUAAAUUGUAUCAGCAUAUCGAUUGCGCAACCAGGGCUGGAAAAACCUUGGAUCAUUGUUAUUCUAACUUCCGCGACACACAUAAGGCCCUGCCCCGCCCUCCUUUCGGAAAAGCUGACCACGACUCCAUUUUGCUGAUCCCUGCCUACAGACAGAAACUAAAACAAGAAGCUCCCACGCUGAGGUCUGUCCAACGCUGGUCCGACCAAGCUGAUUCCACACUCCAAGACUGCUUCCAUCACGUGGACUGGGAUAUGUUUCGUAUUGCGUCAGAUAACAACAUUGACGAAUACGCUGAUUCGGUGUGCGAGUUCAUUAGAACGUGCGUUGAAGAUGUCGUUCCCAUAGCAACGAUUAAAACAUUCCCUAACCAGAAACCGUGGAUUGAUGGCAGCAUUCGCAUGAAACUGAAAGCGCGAACCACUGCUUUUAAUCAGGGCAAGGUGACUGGUAACAUGACCGAAUACAAACAGUGCAGCUAUUCCCUCCGCAAGGCUAUCAAACAAGCUAAGCGUCAGUAUAGAGACUAA